rnacentral:miRNA from 1 species
UAGCCAGGUGCCUCAUCUCAUGCC